UAGCCAUUUUGCAGAAAAGUCCUUCUCUUUUCGGGAAUUCAACCCGCGGCGCCCUUCUUAUCAUGACGUUCCUUUCCACCACGGCGGGGCGGCGCCCUUCACGGCGGCGACAGCUCCGAGUGGGCUCGCGGGAGACGGCGCUGGGCUUGGGAGAUGCGGCCGCGAGGGCGCCGCAUCAGUUCGCGGCAGCGAGGCGGGGAUGCGGCGCUGCGCUCCCGGGAUGCAGCAGCGAGGCCUCGAGGCAGCGCUGCGCUCGGGCGCCGCAUCAAGCGGCAGCAGCGAGGCGGGAGGCGCACACGGAGAUGAAGGAGGAGAAAAUGGAGAGUCGGCCGGGGCGAGGAGUUCGCCGGCGUUGAAGCCACGGACCACGGCGCUGCAAGCUUGCAGGGGGCGGUGGCCAUGGCGGGGAGGCGACGCUGAGCUCGGGCGCCGCAUGCCUCCUCUGCCGCUCCUUCUUUCUUUCUUCCCCAACUCCUCUCUUGCACGGCGUCGUCUUGCCGCCCACGCAGCGAAGAGAUCGAGGAAGAGGCGGGAGUCGUGUCAAUCGAUCUGUCGCACGAGGAUGCGACACUCCCUGUUCCAUCUAGAUCAACGGGCGCAGAGGGAGGUGGAAGAAGAGCCACGACCUCCGAGCAGGAGGCUGUCACCUAGCACGCAUCUGACUGCGGCUAUUUUAUCCAUGAGCUGGAGGAUAAGAGAAGUGCACCUCUAAAAUUCAGAGUUUUGAACCCAAAGAGACGCAUCUAGACAAUGGUUGCAUGAGUGGUUCCAGUGUCAUAUACGCCAACAUGGUUGGAGAUUUGGGAUCGGAUGCUGCGCCAAGAACGAGGGACCAAAGUGCUGAACUAACAGCAGGGGCAGAAUGAUUCUUCAGGUUAUCCUAGACCACUUGGGGACAAUAUCAUCAAUUUCUUGCAUACUGCAAUGCAAGUUCAAAAAGCCAGUUUCUUAUUAUCUCUGUGUUCACCUAACUGCCAAGAAUCAUAAAAGGAUGCACCUAAUGAGGUAGACUCCGGUCUAUGCAAUUUUUGAAGUGUACAUAUGGUGUAACUGAUUAACAAAACAUUGUUCAACCUUCUAUGAGUCCACCUAGGGAGCUGCACAGAUUUGGAACAACUUCCAGAACAGGCAUCCAAGAAUUUUGGUUUGGUACCACUAAGCUGCCAGAGCAAGAUAGCUGGGAUGUGUGUCCCAAGGGCAAUGGUAAACCACAAAUUGGCUGAUCUUUGAUGGGAAGCAUCAGACAAUGCCAAUGUCCAGUAGUAAGAUUUGAUUGUGCAGGUGAUCAAGCCAAGAUAAGUGUUGGAGAUUUGGGAUCGGAUGCUGCGGCAAGAACGAGGGACCAAGGUGCUGAACUAACAGCAGGGGCAGAAUGAUUCUUCAAGUACCAACAUAGCCGUCGACUAGAGAAUUAAGUUAACUGUUUGCUUUACUUGAAGCUCCAAAUUGUAGUUAUUUUAUUCAUUCAGUAAUUUGGUAUAAUACUAAUCUAGGAGGAUUAUCACUGUAUGAUAUGAGACUCUGACGUUUAGCAAUGAUAAAAACCUGACAUUGAAUGGUUCUUUUCGGAAGUACAGUUGUAAGAUCUAUGAUUCUAGCUUGGACCUUUAACUGGACAGUACUAAUUGGACAUAUAAUUGAUGAUUUAUGCACAACAAGAUAUUCUGUUGUCUUUUGUUCUUCAAUCAGAUUCAUCUAGCCCUUUGUUGACUUUCUAAUUGUUUCACCCUUUACCUCUGAAACUUAGAAAUCGGAGAAAGGUUAUUGGCAUAUCCCCGUCACUGACGAAGAUUUGCUAGAGAGGAAGAGGACAAGAAUGUUUUUUCUAUUAUUGGGGACAUACAUAAUACAUAUAGAUAAAUUUGGACUCAUUUAUAACAGAGAUUUCUUGCCAAAAAUAUUAACUCUCUCCAGCAGUGGGCACUGUCAAGGUAAUAACAGUAAUUUGCUGAGCCUAAUUGCAUGAAAGCGGGAUGGUAUCCGAUUGAGAACCUUCUCUAACUAAAUGGGCUUACGAACAAUCAACAUCAAAUAGUUCCAAAUUAAUAGAUGUUGUUUUAUGAAAAUACUAAUUUAAGAAUUUGAUGAAUCUAUAAUUCUCUACAUAAUCACUUAGUGUUUUGUUUGAUCAUCAGGUUAUCCUAGACCACUUGGGGACAAUAUCAUCCAUUUCUUGCAUACUGCAAUGCAAGUUCAAAAAGCCAGUUUCUUAUUAUCUCUGUGUUCACCUAACUGCCAAGAAUCAUAAAAGGAUGCACCUAAUGAGUCCACCUAGGGAGCUGCACAGAUUUGGAACAACUUCCAGAACAGGCAUCCAAGAAUUUUGGUUUGGUACCACUAAGCUGCCAGAGCAAGAUAGCUGGGAUGUGAGUCCCUAGGGCAAUGGUAAAUCACAAAUUGGCUGGUCUUUGAUGGGAAGCAUCAGGCAAUGCCAAUGUCCAGUAGUAAGAUUUGAUUGUGCAGGUGAUCAAGCCAAGAUAAGUGUGCGUACAUCCCCUUUUAGUCCAAAUUAAUAAAAAUAUGAUUUCUGCUAUGAUAGUUUCCACAAUAGUUUGGCCCUUGAGACACUUCCACUGUAUGCAUGUGUGUUCCUUUUUUUCCAGAGAUAUGCAUGUCUAUUGAUCAUUAUUGGAACUGGUUCGACAAAUUGUGUAUAUGUGACAAAUUUACUAAUAUACUGACCCAGCCUGAUAAUAUGACUAAUCCAUUGAUACGUCCAUUUUGCAUCAUGCUUUUAUAUCGAUAUUUAUUGCAUUAUGGGCUGUUAUUACACAUUAUCUCACAAUACUUAUGCCUUUUUUUUCUUAUUUUAUAAGGUUUACAUGAAGAGGGAGAAUGCCGGCAGUUGGAAUUCUGGGCUGGAAAAGGAGCAAAUAUUAGAGACCUAUUCGGCACAACUCCAAAAGU